AUUGAACGCUGGCGGCAUGCCUUACACAUGCAAGUCGAACGGCAGCACGGGGCAACCUGGUGGCGAGUGGCGAACGGGUGAGUAAUGCAUCGGAACGUACCUUUCAGUGGGGGAUAACGUAGCGAAAGUUACGCUAAUACCGCAUAUUCUGUGAGCAGGAAAGCAGGGGAUCGCAAGACCUUGCGCUGAUUGAGCGGCCGAUGUCAGAUUGGCUAGUUGGUGGGGUAAAGGCUCACCAAGGCGACGAUCUGUAGCGGGUCUGAGAGGAUGAUCCGCCACACUGGAACUGCGGCACGGUCCAGACUCCUACGGGAGGCAGCAGUGGGGAAUUUUGGACAAUGGGGGCAACCCUGAUCCAGCCAUGCCGCGUGAGUGAAGAAGGCCUUCGGGUUGUAAAGCUCUUUCGGCCGGGAAGAAAUCGCACGGGCUAAUACCCUGUGUGGAUGACGGUACCGGAAUAAGAAGCACCGGCUAACUACGUGCCAGCCGCCGCCGUAAAAC
rnacentral:rRNA from 1 species